rnacentral:rRNA from 1 species
GACGAACGCUGGCGGCGUGCUUAACACAUGCAAGUCGAGCGGUAAGGCCCUUUCGGGGGUACACGAGCGGCGAACGGGUGAGUAACACGUGGGUGACCUGCCCUCAGCUCUGGGAUAAGCCUGGGAAACCGGGUCUAAUACUGGAUAUGACUCCAUGACGCAUGUUGUGGGGUGGAAAGCCUUGUGCGGCUGAGGAUGGGCCCGCGGCCUAUCAGUCUUGUUGGGUGGGGNGAUGGCCUACCAAGGCGACGACGGGUAGCCGGCCUGAGAGGGCGACCGGCCACACUGGGACUGAGACACGGCCCAGACUCCUACGGGAGGCAGCA